GCCCAGUGAUGAGACCAAGGCGAAUACGAGCUCGCUGAAUGAGAGUUGGUUUCUUCUGGCCUCGACUGGCAGGUAAUCUUGGCAGUGCAGAGGAGGAUUCCUGCUCUGCUGUAAGGGCCUGCCCACAGUGACUGUGCUCAGCCCAAAUUAUUCCUCCACAGUCACAGAGGAGUAAAUUCAGGGGUGAAGCUGACAGUGUGAGUGUUGUGUUUGUGUGUUAGUGUGUGUCGUGUGUGUGUGCCGGAGGUAAGAAGUUCACCCAACUCUCUUUGCCGUUCAGUGAGCCAUGAGUUUUGUCUUUGGUAAUCUGAGGGCA